rnacentral:lncRNA from 1 species
GUCGAGUUCUUUCUUCUGAGGAGGCAAGGACUGAAGUUGCUAUGGACCCAUACGGAUUCGCCGCUGGUAACUCAGGGAUGGUGUUUCCCUUCCUGUUUGCUGAUCCACUGGGGCUGUCCCAGAAAGAGAACUACAACGCUACUCUUUCCCAUGCCUUGCUUGUCCACAGGACACAACAUUUGUCUCCUCCAGAAGAUGCAGCAACAAGGUAUCAUCUUGGAAGCAGAGACAGGGCCUUCACCAGACACCAAACCCAAAGAUCCCUUCAUCUUGGACU